GUGAUCCUGUAGUACAACAAAUCCUUUGUGGAAUGAGGCAAGGUAUAAAUAAAUUACGAGACACCCCAAGAAGACAUUUCUACUCAGAUGCACCUUGUUUCAUGCAAGCACACCAUGAAACUCACUUAAAAGCUGAUAUGCCCCGCCAGCAUCACUAGCUUCUGCCAGAAGAGGAUGAGAGAUCAAGUUUCUCUGUCGGUUUUAUCAGAGAAGAAACUAUUGAACAAUUCCUCAAGUCCCUGGACAAAUUCCUCACUGAGCCAGCUCUAGGUUUCCUUAGCCAAAGAACUUGGCAUCCAAGCAGAAGUGUCAUCACUGGAUAAUGGAUGUACUGGAAUCAGCCAAGCCACCCAUCCGGCAGCAGGAUAUUUGACAGUCCUUCUG